UUUUUGGGUCAUCCAUAAUGUUAUGCCACUGAGUUUGAUGCUAAUAGAGCUUUCUAUUUCCCUUAAGAUGGUAAUUAAUUUCCUAUUUGGUGCUGCAUUCAGCUAGAUUGUUUUUGUAGUGUAUUCAAUUGUGAUUUGGGUUUAUCCUGAUAAGUUUUUCGGGGCUUUAAGGAAAGGGAAUCGAGUGAAAGAUGUAUUAAGUUUAAUGUUUUCUAGUUUUAAGUAUAUGUUGUAUCUAGCUCUGAGUCCCUGGAUUUUAUGUUAUCUUAGGAAUACUACUGAUCUAAGGUCCAUUAUGUUAAUUUAAUCAAUAGCAGAGUGUAAAAUCCUACAAUAUUCUGGUAAAGUUAGUAAUGGUAUGCCUGUGAUAUAUCCUUCACUAUAUCCAUUUCUUUUAUUUGUAGCAGAACUUAUGUGUCUUUCUUGUUUUAAAAGAAAUUGUGAAAUUUAUCAAUGAUAAGUUCAGUGUAUGAGCAAAUGAAUAUGAUCUCUGUCUAUGUGUUAUCUCUUGUUGAAUAAGGAUGAGGCGCCUUUUUUAUAAAAGAAUAAGAUGAUGCAUUUCUGUGUUUUAUUGCAGAAUUUGAUUUGGUGCUCUUGUAUUUCUAUGUGUGAGCAAGUGGAUGUGAUAUCCACGGAUAAGUCACCCCUUGCCGAAAAAGAUUAUGAACCUUUUUGUGAAACAGCAAGAGGAUAUGAGCAAUCGGAAGCUUCUAGGAUGGUUUCAAAAUCUGUGAAAAUGUGCCAUUGAACAGGGACAAGGAAGUAAGUUUUGUUGAUGAUUCUCCUAAUGCUGAAAAUGUGUCGGACCUGGUGCAUGCAAGAACUGGAGAUGAUAGGGGUAUACCUCGGGAAACAAUUGCAUUCAAAUCAUUUGAGGAAGCUAUUGAAUUUUAUGAGGACUAUGCUCGUGGCAGAGGAUUUGGUGUGAGAAUUGCACAUUCUAAUUACUUUAAGGAUGGGCGAUGCAGACAUAUUAUCAUGGCUGCUUGUAAUAAGAGUGGCAAGACUUAGUACUAGACACCUUAUUUUCAUUUGUCAAGACCAGUAGUUAAAACAGAUUGCCAGGCAAGCAUUAAACUGGCCAAGUGAGCUGAUGGAUUAGUGCAUGUCAAGGAGUUUAAAGAUGAACAUAAUCACGAACUUACUCCCUUGCUAGCACAGUCCAAUCCGUCAAAGAAGAGGAGAAAGUUUUUUUGGAGAUAAUGUUGGGGAAAGUAUUCAACAUGGCAGUUCAUCCCAGGAAGUUGCCCAAGCAUGUGAGCAGGAAAAUUUACCUUCCAGAGAGAAGGUAUGGCGAGAGAAUAUUGAAGGGGUAAGGAAACUGAGACUCAAAAAAGGAGAUAUUGAUGCUAUCAGUAGGUUUGUUGUUGACAUGCAAACAAGGAAUUCCUAUUUCUUUCAUUUGAUGGAUUUGAAUAGUAAUGGCUGUUUAAAGAAUGUGUUUUGGGCUGAUGGCAGGUCUAGGACGGCGUAUCAAUAUUUUGGUGAUGUCCUGUUUGUGGAUACUACUUGUUUGACCGAUAAGUUUGGCCACCCUCCAGCUGCCAUUAUCACUCACAAUUCUGAGGCCCUAAAAGGAGCAGUCUCUUAGGUAUUUCCAAGUUCUCAUCACUGUUUGGACCUAAGGUAUGUUAUGAAACGGAUUCGAGAAAACUUGAGAGAACUUGGUGAUUACAAAGAAAUUAAGAAAGAUAUUAAAAAAGUUGUGUAUGAUUCUUUAAUAGGAGAUGAGUUUGUUGGAGGUUGGAAUAAAGUUGUAGGGAAAUAAAAACUUGAAGAUAAUGAAUGCUUUACUUAAUUGUACCAUGAUCGGCAUCUCUGCGUCCCUGGUUUUGUGAAAGAAAUAUUUUUGGCUGGAGUGUACACUACUCACCGGAGCGAGAUUUUGAAAUCUUUCCAUGAUGGCUACAUACAUCCAAGGCUUUCAUUACAACAAUGUCUUGAUAAGUAUGAGAAGGUUGUAAGAAGCAAAUGCGAAAAAGAAUUUAAUGCGGAUGCAGAUUCAGUCCACAAGGGCCCAUUAUUGUUGACACAAUAGAAUAGGCAUCCAAAAUUUAUACAGCUGGCAUCUUCUGAAAAUUCCAAGUUGAAUUAAAGGCACUGGUACUUUGUGUCUCUGCAAUCGUUGGAGCAGAUGAUCCAGUAUGUAUAUUUGAAGUUAAAGAACGCGUAAGAAGCAAAGAUGGCAAAACUAUGGAGCAAAAGAUUUAUAAAGUUUUGUACAACGUGACUGAUUUGGGCAUGCGUUGCAUCUGCUUUUCUUUUCAAUCAAGAGGAAUUCUGUGCAGGCAUGUACUACUAUCUGCCCUUAGUUUCCAAGAUGUGGUUGAAAUUCCAUCAAAACACAUCCUUGAAAGGUGGAGGUAGGACUUUAAGCGCAUGCGCGCUCCGACUUUUCACUCUGAUAAGAUGGAUGCUGAUGGCCCAACAGAACGCCGUGAAAAUUUUUAUAAGCAUUGCCUAAAACUUGCUGAGAUAAGUUUAAUAUUUGAGGAAAAUUAUGAAUUUGCAUUGAAAGUUGUCAAUGAAGCAAUGCAGAAGCUUCUCACAGAUGAUACUGUGCGCAAAGAUUCACUCUGAUAAGAUGAUACUGUGAACCACAAUGUCAUUGAUAUGAAUAUCAAUGACAGCGAAGAUGUCGGCCAUGAAGACUAUGUCACAAUCCUAUGCAAGUGAGAGGCUGUGAACUAUCCUCAGUUUGAAUUUUUCCAGCAUACGGGUCAGAGUGAACCACAUCCAGUAACCUAUCAGUCAGCCCCUCACUGGAACAUCCAACAGAUAUCACAGUUAUUAUUUCAGGAAACUCAAUUACCACGGCCAACUCAUGACUCAAGACCUUGGUAGAGCAAGCCGGCCGGUACUUUUGGCUCUGGCAUAAAUUUAGUUCAUAUAUAUAUAUAUAUAUAUAUUAGUGGAACUAUUUCAUACUCUAUGGUUUAUGUACUUGUGGGAUUAAAGUUGGAACAAUCGAAUUCAUGACACUUCCAUUGUCAAAUUUUUUAUGAGCUUUCUUAUAUGUCUCAGGCAAACUACCUUUUUUUAACAAAUCACGACUGUAUUACUGAUGAGGUCGAGGAUAGUUUCCGGUGUCAGUGUUUCUCAGAUGAUAUCUGGCAUUGUGUAUAUGAUAAAUGCUUCCAAUGAAUUGUGUGUUUUAUGAAUGUAUACACAGAUUUGUAGCUCUUG